CGCCCGGGGGCAGGGCUCCGCGGUGAGAGUGGCAGCUAGACUUACCAAGCUGCUACGGGCAGGGCGCCGCAGUGCCGUAGUAGCGGGCAGCCGACACAGGCUGCUUUGGAGCCGCGGAUUCCGGAGCAAGCGGAAGCCCCCAGGGCUGUCGGACCCCAACCGGGCCGCCCGAGCUCCGCGGCGCCGACUCGGGCUGCCAUCCCCCUCCCUGAGAGGGCUGCGCGGGCGGGAAGACGCCCAGACGCCAGCUUCGGUCCCCCUUCUGUCUCUUGGUUCCUCUUUCCUCCCAAGUAAGGGAAUAAGCCCCGAGGAAGGAGCGCUCCGGGAACCGCGCAACCAAGUGUUGCCUGGUGAGGAAGAGCAAGGAUUUCUGAAUUUACCUUGACUAUAGGUAGAAGGAUGUUGCCUGAGGAAUAGCAGAGGUCUUCCCUCAUCGGCUGAGAGGUGCCUGCUGCUGCCAUAGACACUUGGGUCCUGGAGACGUCUCCUGGAGGGCCCGUCCAUCGCAUACCUGCAAUGAGCCAGACCCUGGGCUGGGCCUCAGCUUCACCCUGGUGAACAAAACUCUGUCCCUGGCCUCAAGUGCUCACACCCAGCUUAAAGAUGAGUGAAGAACGCUGGGUCUCCCUCACCCCAGAAGAAUUUAACCAACUCCAGAAAUAUUCAGAAUAUUCUUCCAAGAAGAUAAAGGAUGUCUUGGCUGAAUUUAAUGAGGGUGGGAGCCUCAAACAAUAUGACCCACAUGAGCCAGUUGGCUAUGAGGUCUUCAAGCUGUUCAUGAGGGCAUACCUGGAGGUGGACCUGCCUCAGCCACUGAGCACGCACCUCUUCCUGGCCUUCAGCCAGAAGCCCAGACAAGAGAUCCCUGACCACCCAAAGGAGGAGACCAGCAACAGCGAGGCCAGUGGCCCAGAGUCCAGCAUUCAGAAUGCGGAUAAUGCUGCCAAAGCAGAUGAGGCCUGUGCCCCUGAUACCGAAUCAAAAAUCACUGAGAAGCAGGUGCCAGCUAAAGACCAAGUGGCUGCAACCCCUCUGGGAAACCCUGUUGCUCAAUCUUCAGGCUCAGAAUCCCCCAUAGUGUACCUGAAGGAUGUUGUAUGUUACCUGUCCCUGCUGGAGACGGGGAGACCUCAGGAUAAGCUAGAGUUUAUGUUUCGUCUCUAUGACUCGGAUGAGAACGGUCUCCUGGACCAAGCGGAGAUGGAUCGUAUUGUUAACCAAAUGCUGCACAUUGCCCAGUAUCUCGAGUGGGAUCCUACGGAGCUAAGGCCUAUAUUGAAGGAGAUGUUGCAAGGGAUGGACUACGACCGGGACGGCUUUGUGUCUCUACAGGAAUGGGUCCACGGAGGGAUGACCACCAUCCCAUUGCUGGUCCUCCUGGGCAUGGACGACUCUGGCUCCAAGGGGGAUGGGAGGCACGCCUGGACCAUGAAACACUUCAAGAAACCCACCUACUGCAACUUCUGCCACAUCAUGCUGAUGGGCGUUCGGAAGCAAGGCCUGUGCUGCAUUUACUGUAAAUACACUGUCCAUGAACGCUGUGUAUCCAAAAACAUUCCUGGAUGUGUCAAAACGAACUCAAAAACCAAAAGGAGUGGUGAGGUGAUGCAGCACGCGUGGGUGGAAGGGAACUCCUCCGUCAAGUGUGACCGGUGCCACAAAAGUAUCAAGUGCUACCAGAGUGUCACCGCGCGGCACUGCGUGUGGUGUCGGAUGACGUUUCACCGCAAAUGCGAAUUAUCAACGCUGUGUGAUGGUGGGGAACUCAGAGACCAUAUUUUGCUGCCCACCUCGAUAUGCCCCGUUACCCGGGACAGGCAAGGUGGGAAGUCUGAUGGCAGUGUGUCAGCCAAGGGUGAACUUGUGAUGCAGUAUAAGAUCAUCCCCACCCCGGGUACCCACCCCCUGCUGGUCUUGGUGAACCCCAAGAGUGGAGGGAGACAAGGAGAAAGAAUUCUUCGGAAAUUCCACUAUCUGCUCAACCCCAAACAAGUUUUCAACCUGGACAAUGGGGGGCCUACUCCAGGACUGAACUUUUUCCGUGAUACUCCAGACUUCCGUGUUUUGGCCUGUGGAGGCGAUGGGACAGUUGGCUGGAUUUUGGAUUGCAUUGAUAAGGCCAACUGUGCAAAGCAUCCACCAGUGGCUGUCCUGCCUCUUGGAACAGGAAAUGACCUGGCCCGCUGUCUCCGCUGGGGAGGAGGUUAUGAAGGGGGCAGCCUGACGAAAAUCCUGAAGGAAAUCGAGCAGAGCCCCUUGGUGAUGCUGGACCGCUGGCACCUGGAAGUCAUCCCUAGAGAGGAGGUGGAGAACGGGGACCAGGUCCCAUACAACAUCAUGAACAACUAUUUCUCCAUUGGCGUGGAUGCUUCCAUUGCACACAGAUUCCACAUGAUGAGAGAGAAACACCCAGAAAAAUUCAACAGCAGGAUGAAGAACAAGCUGUGGUACUUUGAAUUUGGCACCUCGGAGACCUUUGCAGCCACCUGCAAGAAACUCCACGACCACAUAGAGUUGGAGUGUGACGGCGUUGGGGUAGACCUGAGCAACAUCUUCCUCGAAGGUAUUGCCAUUCUCAACAUUCCCAGCAUGUACGGUGGCACCAAUCUCUGGGGAGAAACCAAGAAGAACCGGGCUGUGAUUCGGGAAAGCAGGAAGGUCGUCACGGAUCCCAAGGAACUGAAAUUCUGCAUCCAAGACCUCAGUGACCAGCUACUUGAAGUGGUGGGGCUCGAAGGAGCCAUGGAGAUGGGGCAGAUCUACACUGGCCUGAAGAGUGCGGGCAAGAGGCUGGCCCAGUGCUCUUCUGUCACUAUCAGGACGAACAAGCUGCUGCCGAUGCAAGUGGAUGGAGAGCCCUGGAUGCAGCCACCAUGCACGAUUAAAAUUACUCACAAGAACCAAGCGCCCAUGAUGAUGGGACCUCCCCAGAAGAGCAGCUUCUUUUCACUGAGGAGGAAGAGCCGUUCAAAAGACUAAACAAUGUGCCAAACACCAGUUAAACCAAGAGAUAAAACAAGAAACUGUAAUACACACACACACACACACACACACCCCUCUCUAACCAUUGGAAGCAAAGCCACCCUUUAGGAAGAAUCCUUCACCCUGACAUACAUUCUAUUUAUUUCAACAGUGGACACAACCCACCAGAGCCAGUGCCAACAGAACAUUUUGAAUGGACUUAGGGCCCACCAGGGUGAGGCUGGCUCAUGCAGCAACCUCCACAUUCCCAGCCUUGAGUGGGACUUUCUGAGACUGAAAGAGAAAUCCCCCUUUCUUCCCACCAGUGCUGCAAGUUUCCUCAUGAACAUUCGCAAGGAGCAGGCUGCAGGUUUCCUGCCUAUGGUGAGAUCGGAUGUGGCCAAGGAAAAGAACUCCUGUUCCAGAGAACUUGCACAAAGGUCCCUCUGUACAGAGACAAAACAGCCUCCGACUCUCAGAGCAACUCCCUUGGCAGGGCUCAGCAAGCGCACGUUGGUUUCUUGGUUGUCCUUCGAGUGACAAUUUCUCCCUGAACUCGCUGAGGAGGCAGAAAGGCUGUGGAAAGCUGUGUUUCCAUUCUUGGUUCUCUGCGCUGUCAGUGGGCACUUGUUAUUUUUCCCAAAGCCUUCUCCCAGUGGCUGUGUGUUUGUUUAGAGACGGCUCCAGGAGGGCCCAGCGCUGCCUGCACAGCACACCUUAGAUGUGGUAUUUAUUUUCUUAGUUCUGUGAACACCUGGGAGGGAAAGCAGAGAAACUGGGAUUUAUUUUUCAAAUUGGUGUCAUAAUAUUGUGUAAAAAGGGAAGAAAAAAAAAAACACCCCCAGCUUCUUUCUUUUUCAAGCCAAAGCGUGUUUCCUGUUUGAGUUCCAAGCCCUGGUGGCAGACUAUUCCUGAAGGCAGAGAAGAUGGGAGGGAAGGGCCUUUUGCUAAAGAGCCCAGGAGGCAAACCAUCAGGUGGUUCCCUCCUGCCUCUCUGCACGUACCACUCCCAGAGUAGACCUGAAUGCCCUUCUGAUGGUCUCAAGUGUGUGUACAUAUAUAUAGCAUAUAUAUUUAUAUAUAUAUAAAUAUUUAUUUACUGAUGGACUUUUCCUGAUUGAAAAAAAAUUAUGUAGUAUAGGAACAGAAAUUGAGAAAGAAAGAGAAGGUUCUUACUCCCAAUUCCACCAUUUCAUUGCCAAGAUACAUUUCCCCAUGGCAAUCAUGAGAUUUAAGGGAAAUGAAAGUAGCUUCUUCUCAUAAAGAGACUGAGAAUUUCUAUUCUGGAUUCUCAAAAAAACCAUGAAAGAUAUGCUGGGCAGGAUUUACUCUCCCAUUUGUCAGAUAAGGAAACUUAUCUUGGAAAAGCUAAGAGACCUGUUCAUGGUAUCUUGGCUAAUGUGGUUUGGGAAUAAGUGCCACUAAGAUAUUUAAUAGAGAAAAGAAUCCAUUCAUCUUGGAAUAGGGGCAUUUCCGGUCACUGAGAAAUGUUUCCAUUUGGAUCCAGUUGCCAGGGAAGAAUGAAUGUGCAGCACAUAUGUGAUUGGGACAGGCCCACAUGAGAAAACGGAGGCCUCGUGAUGCUUCCUAGAGAUUUUCUCUGGCCUGAACUGGUGAGAAGUUGGUCUGGGGUUGAAGGCACUAGACAGAUCAUUAAAUUAAACUCUCCCCAUGUCAACUCAUCAUGGCCAUCAUAGUCUCUUUGUCUGGAAACACCUUUGGCUGCAGGGAUGACCUCAAUGGAGAGUUACAAGGAGGACUAAGGCCCCUUCUACGAGGUGCUGCCAGCCCGUAUCCAGAGGGGUCUCGGCAGAGCUCAAUGGGCUUCAUUCAGCUGGUGCCAACAUUACCCUCCUUUCCCAAAGGCAAGACUGUGUAGGGCUUCAUUGGUAGAAAGAAACAUUUGCCUCAGCACCUUUGCUCCCUCAGGCCUCCAUCCUCUCUGAGAUUUCUCAAGAGGAAACCUGGGCCCACUCAACAUCACUCCACUGAGCUCCCCCUGAUCUUGUACUGGGUCAUCAGGAGCUUUGCACAAAGAAGGAAAAAUUAAGAUUGUGUAUGCAUAUUGAUCCUAACUCUGAAGGAAGCAGUCACCUAGGACGUUUAGGACGGAGAUCUAGGACCAUCCUACUCAACCGAACUGUGCAGAACACUGGGCAAGGGGAAAGCCAGGCCACCUGAAGAAUGUCCUGAAUGACGGGAUCCUUGGCAAUGGGACCAACAAGCUCCAGAAUGGCGACAGGUACUGUCUUGGAAGCCACUUGAUUCUGAAAUGAACGCAGGUUCAGCUUUGGGGUCACUGAUCCCAAGACAUUUACAGAAGUUUUUGCCUGUGUUUCAGCCCUGAUCCCCAAGAUUGAGGCUGUUGAGACAUGGCACUAUCAACAGGUGAAACUGGAUCUCAGAGAUUCACAAGUCAGAGACUGGCCCCUGCCUGCUCUGCUCUAGCGCAUAGGACUUGCGGUGUUGCUUGAGAGACAUGUGCCAAGUCUUCCUUAGAGCCACAGAGUGUAACAAACUUCGGUGAAAUUGCACUUCCAAUUUGGUAACCUCAAUGGAAAGAAGCAAGAGACCCAACUAAAGAGAAUAGGGUCCUACAGAAAGUUGCUGACCCAGUUUCUAGCACAGCUACCCUCUUCCAUAGAACGAGAAGUAACCAUUUGUGCCUCUCUGUAUCAUCAUCCUCAAUGCUCGAAAACAAGUGAGACCUUUCUAUCUUGGAAAAGUCUGGCAAAUGUUCCAGAGAAGCUGCUGUGGAAGGGAACUGUUCCAUGUCCCAUGAUGGUGUGAGGGAUGAAACCCUGCCUGGGAGACAAGGGCAACACACGGAGUGGCCUACAGUCCUGUCUCAGCUACGCGGCCUUGGACAUGGCCUUCAGCCUUCUGGGGCCACUCUUUCUCCAUCUAUCAAACAAGGGGGCUCCAAAGACUUUCACUCUUCAACAAUCUUGCCUUCACCUGGGAUAGAUGCUAUGGCCAUAGGAGAGAGGGCAAGGUCCUUGUUCUUGUGGAUCUUCCACCAGGCCCAAGCCUUGCCCCAGCACUGCUGACCCUGGAGGGCUACUCCCAGCCCCUCAGCCAAGAAUCUACCUUCCUUCCCUCUUGAGGAUUGAUCAGGCUCAGAAAUCAUCUGAUGUGGGGGGCCAACAUGAAAAAAACACUACAAGGAAACUCUUGGAUAAGCCUUCCACCUACACACACACAUAUACACACACACACAUACUCAAUCCAUGAAGUGCGAGCAUUUUCCCUUCUGUGUAUCAAACCCACUUUACCCUUUCUCACUGCCAGCGUGUUAGGAGAGAAUUCAGUUCUACCUAUGGAAAAGCACUGCUUCCUCUUAGGGAACUUAGCUAAACCUCAGGGUUCGGGGGUGAGGCUAAAGGUCCUAACACACUUCAACUGUGGCCCAUUAAUGCAGAUCACCAGCCGAGACUGAGGCAGGAACUAGUUAGCACAGUGCCAGGGUCUAGAUCCUUCCCCUGCUCCUCCACCCCCACUGCCUCCCCGCCUCUAGAUCUGUUGUUCUUUAAUGGGGGCUGCCUGCUCAAGCCUGCCUGUCUGCCUGCACAGAGUGCUGUGGAUUUGUUCUGUAAUGUACCGUGUGUAUGUAUGUCCUGAUUCUGGUUUACUGCAAAUAAAAAUGACAGCAAAUGGCUGACUUCUGACCUCCUAA